GGCGGCUGCCUGUUGGUUGCUCUUUCGGCGUAGUUCACGUUCACGGACUUGGAUCCUGACAGAGGAAGUGUAUACUUCCUAACUCACCCGCAUUGGGCUUGGCCAUGUGAUACACUUCAGAAAGUAAAAUGAGAAUGGAUGUGACCUCUGCCACCUCUGCCUUGAAGCUGUGGAUGCCAUGUGGGAAUCAGCUGAGAAUUUUUGUGCCUUUGCUGACUGCUGGCAAAGCAACAUACCCCAGGCAGGGCAGUUCAUUCAGCCUGGGUUCUGGUGUAAGAAGAAAUGUGAUCAACUGUUCAGACCAACACACCAUGUUUAGAUAACAUGAACAAUAAAUUAAUGUGUGGGCAAGG
rnacentral:lncRNA from 1 species